rnacentral:misc_RNA from 1 species
GAUGAAGAACGCAGCGAAAUGCGAUAAGUAAUGUGAAUUGCAGAAUUCAGUGAAUCAUCGAAUCUUUGAACGCACAUUGCGCCCCUUGGUAUUCCGAGGGGCAUGCCUGCUCGAGCGUCAUUAUAACCCCUCAAGCUCAGCUUGGUGUUGGGGCCUGCUGCACUGGCAGCCCUUAAAAUCAGUGGCGGCGCCAUCUGGCUCUAAGCGUAGUAAUUCUUCUCGCUAUGGAGUCCUGGUGGAUGCUUGCCAUCAACCCCCAAUUUUUCUAUGGUUGACCUCGGAUCAGGUAGGAAUACCCGCUGAACUUAAGCAUAUCAAUAAGCGGAGGA